AUAUAUAUAUAUAUAUAAUAUGGCCCAAGCUCCAGCGUGUUUUAUAUAACAUGUUAAUUUUUAUAGGGGCUGUUGAAUGCAAAGAAGUAAACAAUGAUUAAGAUACAAAUGAUUUUGGCAGUGCACAUCCUGAUUCAAAUUGCCCAAAUGCUGCACACAGUGAAUUAUCGGUUAAAAAAAAAACUUUGGAAUUUCACCCGAUUCAAUUUAUUUGAUGAUUCAACUGAUUCAGAAUAAUUUAUUUAAAAGAAAUAUAUAAUUUUGUUUUA